UACGAAGGGUGCAAGCGUUACUCGGAAUUACUGGGCGUAAAGGGUGCGUAGGUGGUUGUUUAAGUCUGUUGUGAAAGCCCCGGGCUCAACCUGGGAAUGGCAAUGGAUACUGGACAGCUAGAGUGCGGUAGAGGGUAGUGGAAUUCCCGGUGUAGCAGUGAAAUGCAUAGAGAUCGGGAGGAACACCAGUGGCGAAGGCGGCUACCUGGACCAGCACUGACACUGAAGCACGAAAGCGUGGGGAGCAAACAGG
rnacentral:rRNA from 1 species